rnacentral:rRNA from 1 species
UGGGGAAUAUUGGACAAUGGGCGAAAGCCUGAUCCAGCCAUGCCGCGUGUGUGAAGAAGGUCUUCGGAUUGUAAAGCACUUUAAGUUGGGAGGAAGGGCAGUAAGCGAAUACCUUGCUGUUUUGACGUUACCGACAGAAUAAGCACCGGCUAACUCUGUGCCAGCAGCCGCGGUAAUACAGAGGGUGCAAGCGUUAAUCGGAAUUACUGGGCGUAAAGCGCGCGUAGGUGGUUCGUUAAGUUGAAUGUGAAAGCCCCGGGCUCAACCUGGGAACUGCAUCCAAAACUGGCGAGCUAGAGUAGGGCAGAGGGUGGUGGAAUUUCCUGUGUAGCGGUGAAGUGCGUAGAUAUAGGAAGGAACACCAGUGGCGAAGGCGACCACCUGGGCUCAUACUGACACUGAGGUGCGAAAGCGUGGGGAGCAAACAGG